GCCGGGCGUGGUGGCGUGCGCCUGUAGUCCCAGCUACUCCGGAGGCUGAGGCAGGAGAAUCGCUUGAGCCUGGGAGGCAGAGGUUGCAGUGAGCUGAGAUCAUGCCACUGCACUCCAGCCUGGGUGACAGAGUGAGACUCUGUCUCAC
ensembl:misc_RNA Metazoa_SRP Metazoan signal recognition particle RNA